GGGCAAGCGUUGCUCGGAAUUACUGGGCGUAAAGCGUGCGCAGGCGGUGAUGUAAGACAGAUGUGAAAUCCCCGGGCUCAACCUGGGAACUGCAUUUGUGACUGCAUCGCUGGAGUGCGGCAGAGGGGGAUGGAAUUCCGCGUGUAGCAGUGAAAUGCGUAGAUAUGCGGAGGAACACCGAUGGCGAAGGCAAUCCCCUGGGCCUGCACUGACGCUCAUGCACGAAAGCGUGGGGAGCAAACAGG
rnacentral:rRNA from 1 species